rnacentral:lncRNA from 1 species
AUUGUAAGUAACUGCCUAAGACCACGCUAAGUUUGCAAUCGAUAAUGUGCCAAUUUUCUUUCUAAUUGCUUUGCCACAGCUCUUGGAAAGCUGCAAUAUGCUGGAUAUAGGUUGUUUUCAAAGAGGAGUUACAGGCACAUCAGGGAGCCAACAGUUUGCUAACCUGGGACAUGCAGAUGUACGGCUGUGCCAAACAGAAAGGGUGGAGAGGCAGAAUUCUGGAAGACAGUAGACAUGAGAUUCUCCAGCUGUUCCCUUGUUUGCUCCUUGGUGCUACAUACUACCACCACAUCUGGUGAAGAUUCAUUCAGGUAUGAAU